GAUGAACGCUGGCGGCGUGCCUAAUACAUGCAAGUCGAGCGAACAGACGAGGAGCUUGCUCCUUCGACGUUAGCGGCGGACGGGUGAGUAACACGUAGGUAACCUACCUAUAAGACUGGGAUAACUUCGGGAAACCGGAGCUAAUACCGGAUAAUAUUUCGAACCGCAUGGUUCGAUAGUGAAAGAUGGCUUUGCUAUCACUUAUAGAUGGACCUGCGCCGUAUUAGCUAGUUGGUAAGGUAACGGCUUACCAAGGCAACGAUACGUAGCCGACCUGAGAGGGUGAUCGGCCACACUGGAACUGAGACACGGUCCAGACUCCUACGGGAGGCAGCAGUAGGGAAUCUUCCGCAAUGGGCGAAAGCCUGACGGAGCAACGCCGCGUGAGUGAUGAAGGUCUGCGGAUCGUAAAACUCUGUUAUUAGGGAAGAACAAACGUGUAAGUAACUGUGCACGUCUUGACGGUACCUAAUCAGAAAGCCACGGCUAACUACGU
rnacentral:rRNA from 1 species